CGGUGGAUGAUCAACCUCGGGGAACCAAGCGUUGGCUUCUUCGUAUGGGAUGGAAGGAUUGCCGAUGAUCGGUGGACCACGAUGAAAUCCCGGUGGCUUCGUGUAGAUCACUUCAACGGGAUUACAAAAAAAAAAAAAAACACGGUCGAAUCGAAAAUAUCUCACCUGGAGGGACAGGACCGACGUAUAUCCCCGAUCCAAUUCUAGAUUGUGCAUAAGGGAACGGUUUUCCAUGCACCCUUCUCACACGUUGAUACCAUCCAGGAUAAAACACGUCGUUCCUCGCUUGAAUUCCAGACGCGUGCGAUUGCUGUUGUUGCAUUAAAGAUCGGUUGAUUAACCGGCAAAGCUUGCAACGUCUGCCUUUGAUGCAUAAGUUGUGCGGUCAAAUGUUGAUUCACCGAGGAGGAUGACACGGGUUGCUGAUUGACCUGCAUCACCGGUUGUUGCUGCGCUAAUUGUUGUUCAUUAGCGUUUCGUUCGACGUUCUUGAGAUUUUCUUUGCUUUGUAAAUAAUGAUCCAAAGAGAGCCGUGAUUCUUCUGGCGUCUUGGAGUUUAGAAAAGUGUUCAACGCUACUUGGGCCUUGGAGGUGAUCCCUUGAUUGUUGAUUUGCGGAUUGGUUCGAAUUAUUAACGUCUGGGAACAAUGACGAAGGAUGAAAGUUUUCAGAAGAUUCUGUCAAAAUAUCCGUCGUGUUCUCUGCCACUUUUUGUCUUGCAGUUUUUUCCAAGAGUCGUGAUUCCACGGCCGUGUACUCGGUGUUUUCCGUCAACGGAUUACCCUCGAAGUUUAAUUGACCAUUGACUAAUCCUAUGAGAACCAACAAGAUCGUUGCCAGCUUCAUGAUCCUGGAAUUAAUGGAAAAUAAUGGAAGCUUUUAGAAGAAGAAUCAUUGGUUAAUAAUUUCAAUUAAUUGUAAUUAAUACGAUUAACAAACAAAAAAGAUUAAUAUUUGAAGCGUUUUGUCAUCUUUGAUUCUAUGGUUGGUAAAAAGAAAGAAACCAGUUAUACAAAUAUUUUAUUAUUUAUAUUCCAUAUAGAUAAUAUACGUUUAAUUGAAAUAUAUGGAAAAGUAGAUCGAUUGUACAUUCAUGAAUCGAUUGACACGGGUUAAAGACCAGCGUAACACUUUCUUCGGUCAACGUGGACAUAAUCACGCUAACAUGAAAACACGUUUUCAUUAAUCGCUUUCUGAUGAAGAUAUUUCUUUUAUCACACCGUUAAAAAGUUACAUAUUACCAUUCUUUUUAUUUAAGUCUUUAAAGUCUUAAGAUAUAUUGCUUCAAAAUCGUAAAUCUUUCAUACGUGAAAGAGAAUCGUAAAUAAAUCUAUAAAACAUUUCUAUUUGAAUUUCAUGAAAUAAACCGAAUUAUGAAUCGAGACAUUACCAGACAUACGACAUUGAUCACAUAUCGCAUAAUAUAUAAAACUACGAUUUUUAAAAUUAUAUUUUUGACUAAAAUAGUGAAAAAAAAAA